CAAAACAUUGCCAAUACUCAUCUUGCCCUGGGGACAUGAUAAGGGAAGAGAGCAAACCAGACUCUCCAGGCCCUGAUGAUUUGCCCACAGAUGAUCUUGCUCAGGAGAGAGGAGAGAGAACUUCAGGUUCUGCAGAUAAAAAGUCUUCCUCCUGUGACUAGAAACAGCACUGGCUGCUCUGUGAUCCUUAGAUGUCUUUUCACUGUGAUAAAUUCAGCUAACAGGACUUCCUUUCAAUGCAGGUAGAUAUCAGAUAGUCCCUGCAUGGGUAAUACUAUCAAAUAUACAACAAUUUGAUUUUUGCCUUAAAGGACGUCAAGUCCUGUUUGUUGAACAUACCUCAAGUCUUGCUCAAAGGAGAAAAUUAUUUACUCAGAAGGCUUUCUACGUGGCUUGUAUCAGCAACCAUCUGAUGGCUUACACAAGCCAUCAUCUCCACAGGAACAAAGAGCCAUGGCAGAAGUGUCUGUGUUGUGUGCAUCACCUAUUUUGGAUGUCCACCUUGAGGUAUUGAGGACCUCAGCAUUUGGGAGCAUUUGGCAUCAUUUAGCACUUUAGUGAAUCAAAGCCAGUAACUGCAAGUAAGUCUGGUGGGAAGGAUUCUUCCUCAAAUUCUUUCUGGAACUGAAAAUACGGAAGAGAAAGGCUUCCUAGUCUCAGUUCCCCUGCCUGUACCCAAGAUGGUCAAGAGAGUGAAGGAACUGCAUUUACAGAGAAGAGCCUCCUCAGCUCUAAAUUGGACCAUGUUUCCAGAAAAUAAAGGUCUAAGUUGCUAGCACGUACUUGCUGAGCAUUUGCAAUGUACAUU